rnacentral:lncRNA from 1 species
GCGGAGGGUCUGUAUUCUCCAGCGACUUGCCGCCCGCAGUGCCUGCCAUAGGGAGUCGACUGGGAAGGACCUUCCCCUCGUCCCUUUAUGGACCGAUAGUCAGGGGCAGAUCAACGCUGUUGCCGGCUCCACCUUGAUAUUGCACUUCAGUCGUCACCUACUACCGAUGGUAUCUAUGAUCUCUCCCAUGAGGUCUUACAACUGGGAUCCGCCUUCGAUGAGUCUAUCAUCCUCGUGGUACCACCGUCCGUCCUCGUGCCCCCGCUCGUGUUAUCGCCUCUAGGGUCGUUCCCCGUACCAGAAUGUGUCUAGGAGGAGGAUAUGAUGCUACUUAACGCGAUAGAGCACACCAAGAAUGCGGGCUACAAAGUGGCGCGUGUCCCAUAACCGCCGUCGAGCGUGGCUGGCUUCGUGUAUGCACAGUCCAACGCGGAGGAGUCGGCCAUGCUUGAAGCGGGCUUUGUGCAGUUAGUCUAUCGCAGCGGACGGCGCCUUGCAGGCCACUAAUAACACAGUUAUGGCUCCCGUAAUUGAGGCCUCUGACCUCGACACAUGUAAGAGUGAUUAAGACAGGAUAAUCUUAGGCGCCUACUAUGGAUCAUUCGACUGAUUUCCCAGAGAAAUCGAUCGGGUCACGGAGCAUCGGAUCGUGUGUUUGUCACUCAUUGGAUGUAGUCAACACAAUCUCCUGGGGUGGUCCCCUCCUCUGAUCGCAACCGCAACAGAAGCAACCGAAGAGCACUGCCAUUCGAAGCAGCGCCGCCCUGACUUGCAGUAGGAGCCGCACCACCUCGCCGCAGCGCAGCCAUUCUCCACCGUCGGCGACGCUUCACUGCACCGCCAACAUCGGCGCGGGUAGCGCUCUAACACCCAAUGCUGUCGGCGAUGCUUUAGCACAUGACAACAGUCGGCAACGUUUCACUGCAGCAUCGCACCCGCGCGACGGGUUCCAUCGCAGCACCCCGAUAGCCUCCGGGAUGAAGCUUCACUGCAACACCAUCACCGCAAGGUGAUUGCCGCCCCGUCGAAGCUACAUCGCAGCACUCGGGCUGCGGGCAAAGCUUCACUGCAGCACCACCACCGCGCGGCGCUGGCUGCCCCGUCGAAGCUUCAUCGCAGCACCCGGGCUGCCAGCGGAGCUUCACUAUAGCGCGGCCACCGACGCGGUGGUGCCGAAUUCUGUGAUGCAGCACGAUGUCGACGAAUUGCUACGACCAACAUAUGUGAGACGUGAGGGGGUCGCAUAGUAAUGAAGCAAGUGGCAAUGAUGGCGGCAGACGCUGCGACGUAGCACAGAGGCGACAAAUUGCUGUGACGCAGCAUGCGUGUGAAUGCGAGGGAAUUUUGGCAUGGUGAAGCACGCGGGAACGGCGACAGUAGAUGCUGCGAUGCAACAUAGCCGCAACGAAAAUUACUAUGAUGCAGCAAGCGUGCGAGGGGAUCACUGUGUGAUGACUCAUGCCAUGGCCUGCACUCGUUGAGUGUGUAGGGAUGAGGAGAGAGAUGAGCUAAGGGAAAGCCAGAGGAAGAAAAUGCAAGCGGAGGAAGGAGAUAAGGUUGGGAAGUGGUGGAAGGGCCCAGCAUGCCACAUGUCGCGCGGGAGAGGAGGUUACGUAGGUGAAAAAUCAUUUGGAUAGUUUCAAACGUUUUUCAUAAUCUUAUGCAUAAGCAUGUGAUUAGAGUUGUAAAAGUAAUUCCCCACAAAGAAAAAAAGUUACAAAAGCAACAUUGGUAUGUGUGGAUAAUUGCAACGAAAAGUAUCCCAUCAUAAACCUAUUGCUAUGUUUGUUUGUUUCUUUUUGCGAAACUCUAUUGCUAUGAUGAUGUAGACAAUUAAGGACCGUUCGAAGUCCUUCGGCUCCGCGGCUCCAUUUUCAAAACGGACGAAGUUGUACUUAUAAUUUAAGAAGCGGAUGUACACAUGCUCCGUAGAUUCUUAAAUUUGGAGGAAUUAGUGGAUUAACGAACGAGCCCUAAGAGUCCGACAUAAUAUAGAGAAAAAUUGAAAGGGGGCUCCUAUUGGAUCAGUCAUCGGCAUAAUUCGUGUAGCAUAUGGCAUCUCACAUCAAAUUUACUGUGAUUUAUUUAGCAGAUGGCAACAGGCAACUACCAGGGCCAGGGCGAGCCCGACACUCUCUAGUGGACAGGGCAAUGGUACCAACAAUAAUUGCUAAAGCUGGAAUGAGUAGAAAAUGGAAUGAAAUAAAGCAGCAACUGGAUGGAAUCAUAUCAACCACAUGGGAAGCGACAUAGCAGCCGACCUUGAGUACAGUUCUUUUUUGUUUUGGAGGGACUUUCAAUACAUCCCUUUUACCAGAAAAGAGUUCCUGAUCCCAAACAAGAUCAAAGUGUCUGCACCUCAAAGAUCUCAACAAAAACUGGAUGGUGAUAGUACUGGCACGACCAACAAAUUCAAACAAAUGGGCAACCAUUGUUUUUUUUUUUUUGAAAAAUAUAAUUUUUUACAUGUUCAUAUUAGUGUUUGAUGUGCUCUUGCCCAUUUCCAUGCAAAAAAAGGGACAAUUGUGCUUCGUCAGGGAAAAAUGACAGUUGAAUUUGUUGAGCAUAGGCUUAGUACUAGGAAAAAACUUAUAGGUAGUCGCUUACUAAUAAAACGGGUUUAUACCCCUCGCUACUGCUAAGUUACUAGUAACGCGCUAUAUUGACACUCGCUACUACUAAAUUAAUAAUAGUAGCGCAGGUUUAUACCCCUCGCUACUACAAAGUGGUAUAUACCAUGCCCCCGGGGACAGGCCAUAGUAGUAGCAAGGGGUAUAAACCCGCGCUACUACUAAGUUGAUAGUAGUAGAACGGGUUUAUAUAUACCCGCGCUACUACUAAGUUGAUAGUAGUAGAACGGGUUUAUAUCCCUAGUUAUUAUUAAGUUGUCUUUCCCAGCCAAAAUAUCUACACAUACUCCCUCCCCGCCCGUUCCCUCUCUCUCUCGCUCACUCUUCCCUCACAGUCUCUCGCUCGCUCUUGGUGUCGUCGCCCAACAGCAUCGCCCGCCUCUGUCGCCGUUGCCCCUCGUCGAGGGUCGUUGCCCACCCUCGCCCUCACAUCCACCGAGGUAUAUCUCCAUCCUUCCGCCCUCCCUUCUCCCUCCUCCAGGGAGCACCAUCCAUCUUGGCGGCAAGAUCCGUUAUGGAUGCAACCACUUGCACCUCCUCGCCAGGACUGAGUGUCAUGGAUAUGGAUGCAACCACUUGCACCUCCUCGCCAGGACUGGGUGUCUGGUCCAAAUCCGACGGCCAUCCGGUACUUGCUCCUCUUACUCCUCUCAGUAUCUUUCUUCCUUUUCUAAUCCUUUUUUUUUUUUGUAGCAACAGCAGAGGAGAGAUGUACGUGGACGAGUGAGGCAUGGAAGCACCAUCGCCAUUGAUGGCUGCAUCCCCUCUAGGAUCAACAUCAAUCAUUUAUGGAUGGAGAGAACGAGGAUGCCCUGCAGCACCAGCCAUGGAUUGAUUUUUAAUUCAAAAUUAGGUAGUACUCCCUACGGAUUAAAAAGAAACGGAGGGAAUAGUACCGCUGGUUCAACCUACGCAGUAGCGGGCAAACCGACACUGCUAUUCAAAAUUAGUUAUAGAAUAACGCUGGUGCCCACGCUACUGCUAGCCCAAUAACCAGCACUCCUAGUAAGCUUUCUCUUAGUAAUGGGCUCGUACGAGCCGAAUUGAAUAUCCACCAAAAACUAAGUUAUAUAGAUAGAUCUCCGUUACAGCAAUAUGAUGAGAUAAACCAAUUCUAUUAUAGUUCACAAACAUGUCACAUGGCAUGUAUAUAUAUAUGCAUAAUAACAAGCACUGGUUUGCUCAUGCAUCCAUCACACAUAAUCUAGGCCAAUAAAUCCACCAUUACAAGUUCAUUAACAUAUAUAUGUAUAUAUAACUCCUCAAACAAAACAGAAACACCGCUCACAUCGACGCCAUCCUUUUUAUUCCAGAAACAUUCAGUACUUGCUUAUUAUUAAGACCGCGCGCUGUUUGAACCAACAAACUUCAGCACAUGCAUCGUUCCUGCCAUCAGUACAAGACACAAAUCAAUCCUCAAAUUGUAACAGAAAUACCUUGCAUCUACUAUUCUACUUUGUGUUUGAGCGGGUACGUCUAUUUGCAUGAGAUGAAAUAAACAAAUGUCAGUUAACUAAUCGAACUGUUCUAGUGAAACUGAACUGGAGCAACAGGAAAUUAAUACUCCCUAUGACGUCUUAUAUUAGUUUACAGAGGGAAUACACGGGCAAGCGCAGGAGAUAGAAUAGAAGAACUUACACCAGGCAACGAUCUUCCAGCGCUGGUUGUCGCCCUCAGUCCACUCCCACAGAAUGAGGGUGGUUCCAUCGCGCACACCGCCAUGGUCCUUGUCGCCAUGGAGCGCAUCAAAGUUCAAGUAGAUGUUGUUCACCAUCCUGAUGCAGCGGUAGCCUGCCCCAACAUCCCUGCUCUCGGUCCAAAGGACCGACUCGUCCAGGGUGUCUGGAUUGUACCUGGUCAGAAGAACCUAGGAUCCAAGAAACAAACCAGAAGGUGAGCAAAUUCACCAUACUAGAGGAGCUGCACUGCAGGGUUGACUAAUCUGGAAGGCCAUAACAGAUCACAGUCACAGCAGGCACACUUGACUUUUUUUUUUUCUUACAAAAUUUGCUGAAAAUGACACGCGUGGAAGUAUUGUUAUAGUUAUGGUCUUGCGUGGAUGGUAAUGUGAAACACCGUUGCAGGUUCAAGUUUUUGACACUGACAAAAUUCGAAACGUUUGCUGAACAUGACACCUAGUACUAGGCAAAUAUUAUUCCGAAGAACAGGGAGAAUUAUAACUCAUGCUGGACUAGUUUAUAUCAUUCCAGACAAAAAAUCAUUAAAUCCUAGUAGUGAUUAUUCACUGAGAAUACCACAUGUCACACCGCCAAUAAGCUCAAAGUGCUUUUGUUCACUCAAGCUUUGCCAAUUCUGUUUUUCAUACGCAGAAGAAUGCAGAGAAAGUGGGCAUUUGGAAUGUGUGGUAUAUGGUGUGCUUGCAGAUGCUCUGAUAUAGAGAUAUGUCUAAAUUUGCCAAAACCAUGUACUAAGAUCCACCGUGCACGCAUGCAUCGGAUAGCAAAAUUAAAGAUGAAUGAAUGGAUGAAUGAGCUGAAGCAAGGAGGCUGGUUACAGGGUGGGACUGGCCGAGGGAGUGCUUGAGAGCCUCUCCGCUGGCCUUGUUGACGAGCGCCAUGGCAGGGUAGCCUUCCUCAUCCUUGACCCUUGUGCUGUACUUCAUGUCCUUGAUCCAGUGCUGCAUCAGAUGCGUAUAUUCAAUCAAAUCCAUCGACCACAUGAUCAGAGAGGAAAUAAUAAACAAAAAGCUGCUUGAGCAAAAGCCAAGCAGGGUUCCCCAAUUAGGAAAGGACGAGGCGGAACCGCCAAUUUUUCAGAUCCCGGUGGCAAGCUCGCCAUGCUAUUUCGGAUCGGGAUCAUGGAAGCAUGUUGGAUCGAUCUUGGGCUGGCGUACGCGUGCGUGUGUAUGUACCUGCGUGUCGUCGUCGCGAUCGGUGCGGACGAGGCAGACCUUGCCGUCCCUGGCGGCGAGGCUGAAGCUCUCCUCCCCGGCCUUGCAGAAGACCCUGUACGUCGGCUGCCUGGUCGCCGGGGGCGCCAUCCCGCCGCCGCCGCCGUGGUGCGGGCGCGUCUCGUUGCCGUAGCCCCCGUACUGCGGCCUCUCGUCGCCGGACUCGUGGGAGACGUGCACCACGUUGCCGUGGGCGGGCGCGCCGUAGCCUUCGUCGCGGCCGCCUCCGUACGCCGGAGCGGGGGCGUGGCGCCCGUAGUCACCCCCGCCGUACCCGGCCGGCGCGGGCGCGUGGCGCCCGUAGUCGUCCUCGCGCCCCCCACCGUAGGCCGGGGCGCGGCCGCCGUAGUCGUCCUCGCGCCCCCCACCGUAGGCCGGGGCGCGGCCGCCGUAGUCGUCCUCGCGCCCCCCACCGUAGGCCGGGGCGCGGCCGCCGUAGUCGUCCUCGCGGCCGCCACCGUAGGCGGGGGGCGGGGCGCCGUAGGCGACGUCGUCGGGGCGGCGGCCGUAGGACGGGGGAGGGGCGCCGUAGGGGUCGGGCUCUUGGCGGCCGUAGGGGGCGGGGGGGCGGCGGUCGUCGUCGUCGUCGUCGCGGCGGCCGUGGCCGUGGCCGUGGCGGUGAGGGAACUCCAUGAUUGAUUGGCCUGUCGGUGGUGGUGGUCGGGACUCGGGAAAUGGGAACGCGGGGGGGUGGUGGAGGUGGAUCCGAUCCGAGCCUAAAUAUGUCGCGUCGCCGGAGUACAUGUCGACGGGCGGGUGAGGUGAGCGCGCGACGUGGCGCCAAUGGGACGCGCUCGCACGACCGACCGACCGACCGGCCGGGCCGAUUCAAUUUCGCAACUGGGCGAUGGCGAUCGGUGGAUCGCCACGUGCACAGCUUUGCACUACACACGUCGCGGAUGGUGGAAAAAUCGUGGUCGUAUCUCAUCCGUUGUUUCUUUUCCUUCGGAUGCCGCGGGAGAUCGGAUCGUAUCAAGCCAAACCAGUCAAGUACCAGCUCAACAAAAAUCAACCGAGCACUCAAUUAUUGCUUGAAUUUCAAGAAGAAAAAAAGGGAAAAGGAGAAUUCGAUGUGGUGUGUACGCUGUGGCCCAAUGGUGCAGCUGCGAGUUCUGAUUUCUUGUUUGAUUGGGGUUGCAUGCGCGGAGGCAGCGGGCGCCA